rnacentral:lncRNA from 1 species
AUGGAGGGCUCCAGCACCUGCGAUAUAGUAGGUAACUUUUGGGAGUCUUGGAACGCCGAACUGAUAGACAAUAAUGUGGAAGAUGCGGACAGUGUCCUCGCUGACCUCUACAGCAAUUCAAUCCUUUUGGAGACUGUCAGCUGUGAUCAGGACCUUGGCGACCAAAGAGAGACCGGUGCGUUUCUGGAACCAUGCAACCCCAAUGGAGGUGAAGUGCAGCUGACGCCACUGGAGACAGUCUGCUUUACUCAAGUUUCUGCAAGUGCAACAGAAAAAGUGUAUGGGCCAUGUGCAUUGCCGGUCACCAGAGAUUCUGAUCAAGCCUCUGUCAGCCAGAAGAAUGAAGGUAUU